UGCUGGUAGUUGGCUGACGUGGCCUCGCCAGCUAAAUGGCAGAAUGGGACAAUCUGGCCAGCUCCACAUCCUCACUUUAAUCAGGUAACAUCACAGUGUAAUGUAGCAGAAUGGGACAAUCUGGCCAGCUCCACAUCCUCAGUUUAAUCAGGUAACAUCACAGUGUAAUGUAGCAGAAUGGGACAAUCUGGCCAGCUCCACAUCCUCAGUUUAAUCAGGUAACAUCACAGUGUAAUGUAGCAGAAUGGGACAAUCUGGCCAGGUCCACAUCCUCACUUUAAUCAGAUAACAUCACAGUGUAAUGUAGCAGAAUGGGACAAUCUGGCCAGCUCCACAUCCUCACUUUAAUCAGGUAACAUCACAGUGUAAUGUAGCAGAAUGGGACAAUCUGGCCAGCUCCACAUCCUCACUUUA